rnacentral:rRNA from 1 species
UAAUAUAAAUAUUAUUAUGGAUAUUUGUUUAAUUUGUUUAUUAGAAAUAACUUUUGUUUUAGUAUUCUUUAUUGAAAUAAUUGUUUUAUUUAUAAAUUAUUGUACUGUGAAGGACUUAUUUUUAUUUUUUAAAAGUAGUUUUAAUUUUAUGUACCUUUUGUAUCAGGGUUGAUUAAUUUGUUGUAUCUAUAUACUUUUCCCGAAUUUUGAAGAGAUAAGGUUGAUUGUUAGUUAAUGUAUUAAAAUUAUUGAUUAAUUAAUUUUAGUAAUGAGAUGUUAUUCGUUUCUUUAUAUCUGGUUUUUUAAGAGUUGAAUUUAAUUCAGGCUUGUUUGUGUAAUUUAUAAUUUAUGUUAAGUUAUUGUUGAUCAAGCUAAGGCCCUUAGGGAUAAGCUUGGGGGCAUAUCUAAAAUUAUGAGAUUAAUGGAGUUUAGUAGGUUUGGAAUCGGCCAUCAUUAAUUUCGUUAUAGACUAUCUUCUUAUUUAAUUUAUUUAGUUUUAUUUAGUUUUAUAUUAAGAUGAUUUAAUUAAUGGUUAAUUAAGUGUAAUAAUGAUUGAAUUAGUAUAUUUUAUAAUUAAAUUAUAGGAACUUGGCAAGUAUCGUACUCGCCUGUUUAACAAAAACAUGUCCUUUUGUUAUUUAUAUAAGGUCUAGCCUGCCCAAUGAUGUUUUUAAUGGCCGCGGUAUUUUAACCGUGCUAAGGUAGCAUAAUCAUUUGUCUUUUAAUUGAGGGCUGGAAUGAAAGGUUGGACGAGGUAUCAGCUUUCUUUAAUUUAAUUUUUGAAUUUAAUUUUUAAGUAAAAAGGCUUAAAUUUUCUUGUUAGACGAGAAGACCCUAUAGAUCUUGACAUUUAGCUUAUUUGUAAUAUUUAGUGGUUAAUUUUUUAUAAUUAUCAUGGAUGUUUGGUUGGGGUGAUUGAAGAAUUCAGACAACUUCUUUUAUCUGUUUUCAUUAAUUAGUGUUUUUAUGAUCCAUUUAUAAUGAUUAGAAGAUUAAGUUACCUUAGGGAUAACAGCGUAAUUUUUAUGGAGAGUCCAUAUCGAUAUAGAAGUUUGCGACCUCGAUGUUGGAUUAAAAUAAGUUUUGAGUGUAGCAGUUCAAAUACUAGGUCUGUUCGACCUUUGAUUUUUUACAUGAUCUGAGUUCAGACCGGCGUGAGCCAGGUCAGUUUCUAUCUUCAAUUUGGUUGUAUAUAUUAGUACGAAAGGACCAUAUAUGCAGAAUAAUUCUUAUGUAUUGUUUAAUAAUAAAU